UAUAAGGGCACAUAUUGGCAGGAUACAUCAUCCCGUUCUUCCAGUCUGUUGUGCUCCCAAAAGAAACAUAGCACAACUGUGGAGAAAUGCUUGCUUUAGCUUUCCAAACUGGUUUAAGGAAAAGCUUGGUCCUAAUGAUCCUUACUUCCAAAAGCUUGGUGAUGGCAUGGUUACCCGGGAAGAGCAGCCCAAUUCUCCAGCAGUACAACUCAGCCCAAUCCCCAAUGGCAUUAAGAAAGAAUGAGGCCCCUGUUUUCUGCUAGUAGACAGCGUAUCUUAUCUUGAGUUUUUCAUUUUUUUUUUCAUGCUUAGUUUGAUGCUAUCAAAUCUUUGCUUUUAUGGAUCUCUUUGAACUAUGUAUGCUAAACUAAAGACUUCAAUUUUA
rnacentral:misc_RNA from 1 species